rnacentral:rRNA from 1 species
CACCAGCGCCACGAGUGGUCAUCGCGAUUAUUGGGCCUAAAGCGUUCGUAGCCGGCUCGGUAAAUCCCUUGUGAAAUUGUUCGGCUUAACCGAACGGCAUGCAGGGGACACUGCCAAGCUCGAGACCGGGAGGGGUCAGAGGUAUUCCGUGGGGACCGGUAAAAUGGGAUAAUCCACGGAGGACCACCGAUGGCGAAGGCAUCUGACCAGAACGGCUCUGACGGUGAGGAACGAAAGCCAGGGGAGCGAACCG